rnacentral:rRNA from 1 species
UACGUAGGGUGCAAGCGUUGUCCGGAAUUAUUGGGCGUAAAGAGCUCGUAGGCGGUCUGUCGCGUCUGCUGUGAAAACUCGGGGCUUAACCCCGGGCCUGCAGUGGGUACGGGCAGACUAGAGUGCGGUAGGGGAGACUGGAAUUCCUGGUGUAGCGGUGAAAUGCGCAGAUAUCAGGAGGAACACCGGUGGCGAAGGCGGGUCUCUGGGCCGUAACUGACGCUGAGGAGCGAAGGCCAGGGGAGCAAACGGG